rnacentral:rRNA from 1 species
GAUGAACGCUGGCGGCGUGCCUAAUACAUGCAAGUCGAGCGAACAGACGAGGAGCUUGCUCCUCUGACGUUAGCGGCGGACGGGUGAGUAACACGUGGAUAACCUACCUAUAAGACUGGGAUAACUUCGGGAAACCGGAGCUAAUACCGGAUAAUAUAUUGAACCGCAUGGUUCAAUAGUGAAAGACGGUUUUGCUGUCACUUAUAGAUGGAUCCGCGCCGCAUUAGCUAGUUGGUAAGGUAACGGCUUACCAAGGCAACGAUGCGUAGCCGACCUGAGAGGGGGAUAGGCCACACUGGAACGGAGACACGGUCCAGACGCCUACGGGAGGCAGCAGAAGGGAAUCUGCGGCAAUGGGCGAAAGCCUGACGGAGCAAGGCCGCGUGAGUGAUGAAGGUGUUCGGAUCGUAAAAAUCUGUUAUUAGGGAAGAACAAAUGUGUAAGUAACUAUGCACGGCUUGACGGUACCUAAUCAGAAAGCCACGGCUAACUACGUG